CAUAAUCGACUUACACUGGCUCCAGAUCGACAUACAAGGCCCUUGAAACGUGUUGAAUGCAUCCGUUGCAACCCGGCCCAACACAGCUAUCACUACGAAAGGAUGACACAACUUAGGAUUGGGCAACAUAAAGCUGGACUUUAUCGUUGUUACAAACCAAGACACUUGUUAGUAUGAAAUCCAGAGAAUAUUGUUUUAGAAAAGUAAAAAUAACUGGGUGCCUAUCAAUUCAUAAAAGUACCCAGAUGCCUACUAAAAUUAAACUGGAUCAACAAAUCAUCUAGCAAAAAUCCCUGAACGUUACACCUUUUCAUCAUUCGCCAAUUCAAUUAUGAAAAAACAAAUCAUCAAUCAAUGAUAUGAAAUAGUGGCAGUAUGCUGCAUUUGGGCUAUAGUUUCUGCAGCUGAUGGAGCAAGUGCAAAAGAUACCCAACACUUCACACGGCGAGGCACAUCUUAUUCCCUAUUUUAGCUUUUGGACCAAGACCACACGGAGAGACCCGUCGUCCAUGGCAAGAACUGUCUUGGCAAGGAUUGAAAAGAUUCAAGGCCCUACAAUGACGAUGGAUCCCAGUGCUAGCUAAAUAUGUCUUCUAAUUUACUGAAUGCCUGAAUGCAAUGCCCUAAUCACGGAGCGGCGACUUUUGAAUGUGAUGCACUAAUCUCACGACUCCUCAUGUGGAGGCGGCAGAUUAGCGUGCCAGGCCGCCACCGACGUCCGAGCUCUAUGCAAACUUGUGGGAUCCUGGGGGAGUGAGCGCCCAGGAUAGUACGGCACCUAUGCAUACACACACACCAGUACAAGAAGUUCUCCGAAACGUCGCAGAACAGCGGAUCAAGCCGCCGUGUCGACCGCCGAGCCCUCCUUCCACGCUGCCGCAGAUCAGUCGGUCGUCCCGUCAUCGUUGACCGAGCUCUCCAUUAGUGCCACUGUAGAGCAGCCUGCCACAUCACCGCGCCAAGCUCUCCAUCCGACCCACCACAUAACUUUGCCUUGUACUCUAAGAAUAUAAUAGUUAGCAAAUCAAUUGGUUGUCAAGAAAUAAACAAGCGACUGUCUUCUGUAUAUUACUGUCAGUUGUUCAAUGAAGAUGGCUGUGCAUUGUGGAAUUACUCCACUCAAAAUACUGGAAUGCCCAAACUGAAGACCUAGACACCUAACAACUAUUUUAUAAAGAACCCCACAUAGUUCUUUUAUAGAGAACUUCGCAAACCUCGACUAAUCUAUAUCAUGCAUGGAAAGUAUCAAUCAUAUAUAUCUUCAGAAUCCCCAUACACAUCAAGAAGCAUUAUAUCCCUUUUCUUAUUGUUAAAUCAUUCUUAUUUCCUCCUUGAACCAAACUCGCCAUGCCUAUAUGCUUCGAGCCAAGGGAAUAUUGUACUAUGCAGAGGAGAAGAUUAACACUCCAUAUUGAGAGAACAAAUCAAGUUUAGUAUAGGUGGUACCAGUGCCAUGUUUGAGAUCAUGUCGUCGCUGCUGAACCUUGUACUAUGUCAUCUAGCAG
rnacentral:lncRNA from 1 species